GCCCAGGGAAACUGGAGCGAAAACGGACGUGGGCCGCUGCCGGAGGAAGCCAGCAGGCCUCUCUCCGGGAUCGCGAGAGAGGGCUCGCUGUAGGAAAACACGUGCAAAAUAGGCGCAAAACACUGCGUCGUCAAGGCUGCAAUGUCUGGUACAAAAUAGUGUUCUCAUAGCAACGAAUAAAUUGCCGGUCUGUUCUCAGUAUUACACACAUUGAUAGGUUGAUGGUGCAGUUUGGCGUGACCUUCCAGGGAGAGUUUUGAAUCCUAUGUUCCUGAGGAACUUGGCUGUAGUGUUUUGUUAUUUUAUGGAGUGCAAUGAACCUUCAAAGCAGGCCAAGCAAGUGUGGGGAGAAAGAGAACCGGCCAUUCCUGAUUGCAGAGGAUCCUAAAUGUUGCCUGCUCCCUAAGUCUUUCUCCACCUCUUCCUCAGUGGUUCCAUAGUUCCACAAGCUCUUGGAAUGGUUUAUAGUGCUUUUAUUUAUUUGUUUCUACCACAUAAGUUUCUAGCGAAUAAAGUUGUGUUAUACAAUGGGA